CCUACGGGAGGCAGCAGUGGGGAAUAUUGGACAAUGGGGGGAACCCUGAUCCAGCCAUGCCGCGUGUGUGAAGAAGGCCCUCGGGUUGUAAAGCACUUUCAGUGAGGAAGAACGCCUGGUGGUUAAUACCCAUCAGGAAAGACAUCACUCACAGAAGAAGCACCGGCUAACUCCGUGCCAGCAGCCGCGGUAAUACGGAGGGUGCGAGCGUUAAUCGGAGUUACUGGGCGUAAAGCGCGCGUAGGUGGCUUGAUAAGCCGGUUGUGAAAGCCCCGGGCUCAACCUGGGAACGGCAUCCGGAACUGUCAAGCUAGAGUGCAGGAGAGGAAGGUAGAAUUCCCGGUGUAGCGGUGAAAUGCGUAGAGAUCGGGAGGAAUACCAGUGGCGAAGGCGGCCUUCUGGACUGACACUGACACUGAGGUGCGAAAGCGUGGGUAGCAAACAGGAUUAGAUACCCCGGUAGUC
rnacentral:rRNA from 1 species